CAGCAGGUGAAAGGAUAUCAUCAAUCACCACAAUACCAGGAUGUGUCUCAUCCUCGUACCAUUGCUUCUCAAUUUUUUGCGCAUCAAAUUUUCGAUUCAAGAGUGGUAAUAAAUU
rnacentral:rRNA from 14 species